UCACAGAAGGCCCGGUCCAGACGUAUACCUGCAGAUAUCCAUCGAAAUGCAGUCCAUCCAAAGAGAUUCAUCCAGGCCACGAGCGACCCUCCCCCCACGUCCUCUAAAGAUAUGACUGGGUUUACCCCAGCCGAAGGAGGUUUAUCCACGCAAUCUACAACCAUCCUUGCUGCUCUAGAUGGCCAUGAUCCUUUCGGUCAUGGGUAUUUCUCAACAGGCCAGGGGUGGUGGGGGAGGUAACCGGGAAAGUAGAGUUGGCAAAUAUAUUGCAUGAGUUAUGCAUCACCUCCCCGGAGUUGCAAUGAUGCUACGGAUGUUUGAUCAGACCACUCAUAUACACGGAAGCGUGGGGUCUUUGGAUGUUGGGGUGUUGGGGCCAAAAGUUUGCCCUCCGAUUGAGGUCUUCGACCCUUCUUUAUGUACCAGGGGGUAGGGAAGCCCCCAACUUUCUGAAACAGGGUUGGUUUGAGUGGUCUACUAGGUAUGCUAUCUUUAUGUGUGUGGGGUAGAAUUAAAUCGGGUACAAGAAAAGGUGGUGGCUUACAUGGUAUUCAUCAAUUCUUCAAAAUGGACGUGAUCUUACACUAUUCCUCCUAAUUGCUCUUUUAGCCUCCUGUGUAAAAUGGGCGGUUAGCAGAGGAUCAUCACGGAUGAAUCAAGAUGACCCUUAUCCGUCAAUAUAAAUGGAAGAGUGGAGUAGUUGAAGAGCGAGAUGGGAUAUUCAUCAUCCGCUCCUGCAUAAGUUCUUUUAGAUGAGACUUGCAGUGAAGAUUGGAGAUCCAAUGGGUAAUGAGCGCCGAAGUAUCCGUACAACAUUCUCCACAAAGGUAACCAGCAUACAAGCCAUUCAAGUCGGGUGAUUAUCAACAAUUCUUCGGGCCGGUGACACUUACCUAUAUCCAAAAUAAAUGCUGGUGACCGCCAGUAACCGAGAAUCGACUGAGCGGAGCCAUUGCUGCCC
rnacentral:sRNA from 1 species